rnacentral:rRNA from 1 species
GACGAACGCUGGCGGCGUGCUUAACACAUGCCAGUCGAACGGAAAGGCCCUGCUUUUGUGGGGUGGUCGAGUGGCGAACGGGGGAGUAACACGUGAGUAACCUGCCCUUGACUGUGGGAUAACUUCAGGAAACGGGGGAGAAUACCGGGGAGGAGCUCUUGCUGCAUGGUGGGGGUUGGAAAGUUUCGGCGGUUGGGGCUGGUCUGGCGGCUUAUGAGCUGGUUGGGCGGGUAGUGGCUGUCCAAGGUUUUGACGGGUAGCCGGCCUGGGAGCCUGGCCGGGCACCUUGGGCCUGCGGGACGCACCAGACGCCUACGGGCGGCAGCGGUGGGAAAUAUGACACAAUGGGGGGAAGCCUGUUGCAGAGACGCCGCGUGCGGGAUGCCGGCCUUCGGGUUGUGAACCGAUUUCGCAUGAGACGAAGCGUGAGUGACGGUAAUGGGUAAAAAAGCACCGGCUAACUACGUG